GUGCUCACUUGGGCAACACAUAUACUAAAAUUGGAACGAUACAGAGAAGAUUAGUAUGGCCCCUGCGCAAGGAUGGCAUGCAAAUUCGUGAAGUGUUCCAUAUUUUU
ensembl:snRNA U6 U6 spliceosomal RNA